AACGAACGCUGGCGGCAGGCCUAACACAUGCAAGUCGAGCGGGACCUUCGGGUCUAGCGGCGGACGGGUUAGUAACGCGUGGGAACGUGCCCAAAGGUACGGAAUAGCCUCGGGAAACUGAGAGUAAUACCGUAUGUGCCCCUCGGGGGAAAGAUUUAUCGCCUUUGGAUCGGCCCGCGUUGGAUUAGGUAGUUGGUGGGGUAAUGGCCUACCAAGCCGACGAUCCAUAGCUGGUUUGAGAGGAUGAUCAGCAACACUGGGACUGAGACACGGCCCAGACUCCUACGGGAGGCAGCAGUGGGGAAUCUUAGACAAUGGGGGAAACCCUGAUCUAGCCAUGCCGCGUGAGCGAUGAAGGCCUUAGGGUUGUAAAGCUCCUUCAGAUGGGAAGAUAAUGACGGUACCAUCAGAAGAAGCCCCGGCUAACUCCGUG
rnacentral:rRNA from 1 species